rnacentral:lncRNA from 1 species
AGAAGAAAUUCUGCCUCAAGGCUGAAGUGUAGAAAUUCUAUUAGAGUUCCUGGCCUGCCAGCCUGCCCUGUAGACUUCAGACUUGUCACUCUUCUCUGCAAAUUGCAUGAAUCAGUUUCUUAAAUCUUUUGCACCAGACUUGUUAUCUUAGUGGUCUUGUCUCCUUGAGAAUCUCGGUGUGACUGUGUAGAGAUUGAAGGCAUAUGCAAGACUCUUCCCAGCUACCUUGGGUCCCCCGUUGGGCACAGCCUUCUUUGGAAGCCAGGCAGAGAGCCACAAACCCUUAUUGUCUAAUUGGAUGGACUCUGGUUAUUUCAAACCAUUUCUUGAAUUCACUCUUGUCCCCACUUUGUGAUGUGAGGUGUGUGUGUGUGAUUGUGAUACCACCUGUUUUUCAAAAGCCUAAAAAGUAGAACCCACAUUCUUCCGCUUUGCACAUUUCUCAUUUUUGCAAUGGACACACUUUCUUGUUAAUUUUAAAUGAAACCCUUAGGCUGAUGGGCUGAGAGCCUGUCAGAGAAGUGCUUGGGCUCCACGGUGCAGUCACUUCCACACACUCUUUUUGGGUGUCUGGUAUUCAAAGAGAGAUUGGAAGUAAGGGGGUCCACGUCUCCAUCACCCCUUUACCGGGGAACACGUAUAAGGAGGGGCUGCCCGGCAAAUACAGACAUCUCAAUUUCUAAUCAACACGGAGCUCCUCCUCUUGGGUUUUUGGGGUUUUUUUUUUUUUUUUUUUUUUUUUGUCUCCCUCUUUUUUCUUUGGAUAGAAUUUGCUUCUCAUCAUGAUUGACACUGCAGUGGAGAAGCCAUCUGAAUCGAGGCGUUUUGAGAAAAUUGUAUCUUCUGUGACAUGUGCCACCAAGCCCAUACUUUGCAGCACAUGCUCAAGGGGCUAAUUAUUGGCUGCGCUGCCUCCUGGGGUAAUUUAUGCAUGCCUGUUCCUCGUUUUCCAAGAAGUGAAAAUAAAGCUUCUCAGGGGCUGUGGAAACCCAUCAUUUCAGCUGUCAGUCGAUGGCGCCCCACUGUGAGAAAGCGUUUGCGACUUGAGCCUCUUCCUCCACCCCAGUUUAGAGAAUUUGGUUCCAAGGUUGUUCCAUGUCCCUGGCAACCGUGACACAGGGGCACACAGGGGGCGUGUCUGUCACCAGUGCAACAAGACAUCACGUUGGUUUGUUUCCCAAGAUGGUACCCACGUCUUGUCUCUGGGGAAACUAAUUUUUUGAAACUCCCUUUCUCUGCAUGGGUGAUAUAAAACUCUGGUCUUUGUGGCUUGUCUCCUAAGCAUACACUGCUUAGAUUCACCUUUAUUUUAACAACUAAAGCGUCUGCUUUAUUUUAGUCACUGUGGCUUCCCCAGGAGGAACCGGAUUUGCCCAAGGUUGAACGGUGCCCCGUUCGCCCAACGCCCCCUGUCUCGGUCCCAGGGUUUGAGAUCCCAAGCUCAGGGCUGGCUCUCCUCAGAGAGACUUCGUUGUCCAUUUCCUCCUCCCCUCACAAACUGGAGGAAAGCUGGAAAUGUCAGUUGCAGGUCUUGACGUGUGUCCAGUGAACCGUGCGCAAGGGAAGUCAUUUUCCACAUGGCUUCUUUUUGAUGGAAAUGCAGAUGCCUUGAAGAUGGAUGGGAAACGACAACAACUUUUUAAGAGUCUCUUUCUCCGCCGACUGAGCUAGCUGGCGGCGCAAAGGAUGACUUUUUAAAAGAAGAGCUUCAGCGAAUUCGGCUUCUGAAUUCCCUUAUGGGGAACAAAGAUGCAUGGGUAUUUUCGUGGGAGGAAAAUCCUUAGCGGAACAUAUGUGGAGGAGAGAGACGCAGGGAUGCUUACUGGUGAUAAGAGAGCGUCAUGCCCACAUGUGUCUUCUUCCUGUGUGUUGUCAGAUGUCACACUCAAUGACUUUAAAAAAUCGGGAGACCCGCAAAGGUGGAAGGGCCACUCACCCUGUCUCUGGCACCUGGGGACAGGACCUCAUUUGGACAAAGUCUUCGAACGUGUGAUGAAGGGAAGGGUCUGGGAGGAGGUCCUCCUGGAAGAGGGGGUCCCUCCAUCCAAGGACAGUGUCCUCCAAGGAGAGAGAAGAGGAGACACAGACCCAGAGGAGAAGCCACAGGAAGGGUCUGAGAGGAGGUCCUCCUGGAUGAGGGGUCCCUCCCUCCAAGGACAGUGUCCUCCCAAGAGACAGAAGAGGAGACACAAACACAGAGGAGAAACCACAGGAAGAUGGAGGCAGAGACAGGAGGGAGGCGGCCACUAGCCCAGGGCUGCCUGGAGCCCCCAGAAGCUGGAAGAGGCAGGAAGGACCCUGCCCUGGAGCCUCUGGAGGGAGCCUGGCCCUGUCCACACCUUGACCGCAGACACCUGUUCUCCAGGAUGCGGGAGGAUGGAUGCCUAUUGUUCUAAGCCUCAUGGUUUGGCGUCAUUUUUUUAGGUCAGACCCAGGCCACUCACAGACAUUAUCCUUGAUGUGAUGAAAGAUGAAAGUUUGAGAAUGAGAAGCCCUCUAAUAAGAUAUCCUAGAACAGGUCGAGAGAGACAAGAAAGCCAGGCAUGAAAUGUCGUUUGGGGAACCCUGUUAUACCCCCUGAAAGUGGGUCUUUUCUAGAGUGGAGGGGCUUCCUAGAAGAGAAUCGAUGAGAAGGGAGAAAGAAAAAAGGUCCAGACUUUGGGAGGAGCCCAGAACCAGAAGUUCAGAGCUUAAGAUGAAGAUGAAUUUGGGUCCAGAGAAGGUGUCAAGGAGCCUGGCGAAUUCACUCCACCCCCUGGUGGCCAGGAGGACUUACUACAAGCCUCGGGCAGAGGACUCUGCUCCUCAAAGCCGGAUGCAGGGGAUUUGGGGCGGUCGAGACACUUCUAGAGCCUUCUGAGUUCUAGGGGAGGAAUAGAAAUGCAUGGCCCACGGUCGAGGUGCCAACCCACCGCUGUGCCCCUGCAUAGCUGUAUCCUUCUCUGCCCCAUCCCCAGGUUGCAAAAGCCACACUCUUUGCAGCUCUGGGUUCUCACAGGUAACAAAAUACCGUGAACAGGAGUUGACUGUUGCACCUGUGAAAAUCACUGUUAGUCCCUUUUAUUGGAAGGAGACCUUUUCUUUUUUUAUUGCUUUUAUUUUUAGUGAAGUUGAUUUACGAUGUGCCAAUUUCUGCUGUACAGAAAAGGGAUCCAGUCAUAUAUAUACAUCCAUUCUUUUUCUCAUAGUAUCUUCCAUCGUGGGCUGUCCCAAGGGACUGGAUAGAGUUCCUUGUGCGGCACAGCAGGACCUCCUUGCUUAUCCAUUCUCAGUGUCAUAGUUGGCAUCUAUGAACCCCAAACUCCCAGCCCAUCCCACUCCCUCCCCCUCCCCUUUGGCAACCACAAGUCUGUUCUUUAUGUCUGUGAGUCUGUUUCUGUUCUGUAGACAGGUUCAUAUCUGCCACAUUUUAGAUUCCACAUAGACGUGAUCUCAUAUGGUAUUUGUCUGUCUCUGUCUGACUGACUUCCUUAGUGUCAGAAUCUCUAGGUCCAUCCAUGUUGCUGUGAAUGGCAUUGGUUCAUUCUUUUUCAUGGCUGAGUAGUAUUCCAUCGUGUCUAUGUACCCCCUCUUCUGAAUCCACUCAUCCAUCGAUGGACACUUAGCUUGUGUCCCUGUCUUGGCUAUUGUGACUAGUGCUGCAGUGAACAUAGGUGUGCAUUGAUCUUUUCAUUUAUUACUUUUUGUUGGCUGGCAGAUCUCAGCUGGGCAUGUGAGGUGUCUUUGCUUUUUUUUUUUUUUAUUAGAGUUGAUUUGCAGUGUUGCGUCAAUUUCUGCAACAUGGCAAAGUGAUCUAGUCACACAUGUAUACACAUUCUUUUUCUCAUACUAUCUUCCAUCCUGGUCUACCCCAAGAGACGGGAUAGAGUUCCCUGUGCUGGACAGCAGGACUUCAGGGCUUAUCCAUUUUCAGUGUCAUAGUUUGUACCUACUGACCCCAAACUCCCCAUCCAUCCCACUCCCUCCCAAGACUUUUUCUUUCAACCAGAGAGGUCUCCUAAAACACUAAAACCGUACAUUCCUAUGUGCAUAAAUGAUACUUUCUGACCUUAUUCUUAAACUGAUUUUUUUUUUUUUUUGGUCCAGGUGGGUUGAAAAAUUAAUUACAAAAGAGCUUCCUUCUAGGUAAAUAUGGGGCUGAAUGGUCUGCUGUGAUCACUGUGUCUAUCCACAGUGAUGGAAAACCAGCCAUCAGAGAAAGGUCAGGGCCGUGACCUCUCUUCUGGGUCUACCCAGAAGGCUUAGCCAACCUUUUAACAUUUCUUUGUUAUUUAUUUUUUUCUUUCUCGGUUGUCUGACAUGUCAAUAGCAAUUUUUUAAAUGUCUCGGAGACGUUUAUAUUGCAGUGUUGUGUUUUAUUGCUGCCGUUCUGGGGGCCUGCUCUUAACCAUGAGUCUUGGAAGCCUUUCAUGGGGAUUGUUCUGGUCAGAUGGGUUCCCAGCUACCAAGGCAGUCACAUCAGGUUUUAGCUUUUCCCCAGCUUUAUUGAGGAAUAAGGGACCAGGAGUGUUUUAUACACCAAGCCAUGAGUAGAGGCCAAGCUGUGAAAAUCUCCCCUUUUCUUUCCAACCCAGGCCUCCCCUGUAACCAUAUGGUGGAUUCGUCUUGCAGUUCCCAUUGUGGCUCAGCGAGUUAAGAACCCAACAUAGUGUUCAUGAGGCCACGGGUUCGGUCCCUGGCCUCACUCAGUGGGUUAAGGAUAUGGCGUUGCCGUGAGCUGCUGCACAGCAUGCAGAUGUGGCUUGGAUCUGGCAUUGCUGUGGCUGUGGCGUAGGCUGGCAGCUGCAGCUCUGAUUCCACCCCUGGCCUGGGAACCUCCAUAUGCUGCAG